UGGGGGAUAUUGCACAAUGGAGGAAACUCUGAUGCAGCAACGCCGCGUGAAGGAUGAAGGUCUUCGGAUUGUAAACUUUUGUACUUGGGGACGAUAAUGACGGUACCCAAGCAGCAAGCUCCGGCUAACUACGUGCCAGCAGCCGCGGUAAUACGUAGGGAGCAAGCGUUGUCCGGAUUUACUGGGUGUAAAGGGUGCGUAGGCGGCUAUGCAAGUCAGUUGUGAAAACUAUGGGCUCAACCCAUAGCCUGCAAUUGAAACUGCGUGGCUUGAGUGAAGUAGAGGUAGGUGGAAUUCCCGGUGUAGCGGUGAAAUGCGUAGAGAUCGGGGGG
rnacentral:rRNA from 1 species